rnacentral:rRNA from 1 species
GAUGAACGCUGGCGGCGUGCCUAAUACAUGCAAGUCGAGCGAACGGACGAGAAGCUUGCUUCUCUGAUGUUAGCGGCGGACGGGUGAGUAACACGUGGAUAACCUACCUAUAAGACUGGGAUAAUUUCGGGAAACAGGAGCUAAUACUGGAUAAUAUUUUGAACCGCAUGGAUCAAAAGUGAAAGACGGUCUUGCUGUCACUUAUAGCUGGAUCCGCGCUGCAUUAGCUAGUUGGUAAGGUAACGGCUUACCAAGGCAACGAUGCAUAGCCGACCUGAGAGGGUGAUCAGCCACACUGGAACUGAGACACGGUCCAGACUCCUACGGGAGGCAGCAGUGGGGAAUCUUCCGCAAUGGGCGAAAGCCUGACGGAGCAACGCCGCGUGAGUGAUGAAGGUCUUCGGAUCGUAAAACUCUGUUAUUAGGGAAGAACAUAUGUGUAAGUAACUGUGCACAUCUUGACGGUACCUAAUCAGAAAGCCACGGCUAACUACGUG